UCCAACGUGGAUACACCCGGGAGGUCACUCUCCCCGGGCUCUGUCCAAGUGGCGU
rnacentral:precursor_RNA from 2 species